GUGCUCACUUCAGCAGCAUAUAUACUAAAAUUGGAGUGAUACAAAAAAGAUUAGCAUGGCACCUGGGCAAGGGUGACAUUCACAUUCGGGAAGUGUUCUGUAUUUUU